CACGGGAGGUGGCGGCACGAUGCGGCCUUGCCAUACUCUUAGGCAUCGGUGAAAUCCGUUCUGCAAUCUAGGAACGAGGCCAACUUCAGGAGUUGAUUGAAGCUGCACUAAAUUUAGCUACAAAGUAACAUCAAAACAAUUGGUGGGCAGCCUCCUCCAGGAAGAAAAUUACAGUUUGGAUCAGGAUCUGUAGUCCAUAGGAUGGUCAGGUCCUGAUAGAUUCAGAAGACCAGGUCAUACCAUCAUGACUAUAUUCGAUUUGGAUCCUUAGGU